GAUCCUGGCUCAGGAUGAACGCUAGCGGCAGGCCUAACACAUGCAAGUCGAGGGGUAAGGCUCUUUCGGGAGUACACGACCGGCGCACGGGUGAGUAUCGCGUUUGCAAUCUACCUCUAACUGGGGCAUAGCCCGGAGAAAUUCGGAUUAAUACCCCAUAAUGUCAUGAGAUCGCAUGAUUUUAUGAUUAAAGCUUUGGCGGUUAGAGAUGAGCAUGCGUGUCAUUAGCUUGUUGGUGAGGUAACAGCUCACCAAGGCAACGAUGACUAGGGGGUCUGAGAGGAUGAUCCCCCACACUGGUACUGAGACACGGACCAGACUCCUACGGGAGGCAGCAGUGAGGAAUAUUGGGCAAUGGGCGAAAGCCUGACCCAGCCAUGCCGCGUGCAGGAUGACUGCCCUAUGGGUUGUAAACUGCUUUUAUACGGGAAGAAUGGUUCCUACGUGUAGGGAUUUGACGGUACCGUAAGAAUAAGCAUCGGCUAACUCCGUGCCAGCAGCCGCGGUAAUACGGAGGAUGCAAGCGUUAUCCGGAUUCAUUGGGUUUAAAGGGUGCGUAGGCGGAAUAUUAAGUCAGUGGUGAAAUCCUGCAGCUUAACUGUAGAACUGCCAUUGAUACUGGUAUUCUUGAAUAUAGUUGAGGUGGGCGGAAUAUGUAAUGUAGCGGUGAAAUGCUUAGAUAUUACAUAGAACACCGAUUGCGAAGGCAGCUCACUAAACUAACAUUGACGCUGAGGCACGAAAGCGUGGGGAGCGAACAGGAUUAGAUACCCUGGUAGUCCACGCCGUAAACUAUGAUCACUCGCUGUUGGCAAUACAUCGUCAGCGGCUGAGCGAAAGCAUUAAGUGAUCCACCUGGGGAGUACGGUCGCCAGAUUGAAACUCAAAGGAAUUGACGGGGGCCCGCACAAGCGGACGAACCUGUGGUUUACUUCGAUGAUACGCGAGGGACCUUACCUGAGCUUAAAUGCAGAGCGACGUCCGCCGAAAGGCGGAUUCCUUCGGGCGAACUGCAAGGUGCUGCAUGGCUGUCGCCAGCUCGUGCCGUGAGGUGUCGGGUUAAGUCCCAUAACGAGCGCAACCCUUAUCGUUAGUUGCCAGCGGGUAAUGCCGGGGACUCUAACGAAACUGCCGGUGUAAACCGUGAGGAAGGUGGGGAUGACGUCAAGUCAGCACGGCCAUUAUGUCCAGGGCUACACACGUGUUACAAUGGUCGGUACAAAGGGCAGCUACCUGGUGACAGGAUGCUAAUCUCGAAAACCGAUCUCAGUUCGGAUUGAAGUCUGCAACUCGACUUCAUGAAGCUGGAUUCGCUAGUAAUCGCGCAUCAGCCACGGCGCGGUGAAUACGUUCCCGGGCCUUGUACACACCGCCCGUCAAGCCAUGAAGCUUGGGGUACCUGAAGUCCGUAAC
rnacentral:rRNA from 1 species